rnacentral:rRNA from 1 species
GCGGGAGGCAGCAGUGAGGGAUAUUGGUCAAUGGGCGAGAGCCUGAACCAGCCAAGUAGCGUGAAGGAAGACUGCCCUAUGGGUUGUAAACUUCUUUUGUUCGGGAAUAAAGUGCCGUACGUGUACGGUUUUGCAUGUACCGUUCGAAUAAGCAUCGGCUAAUUCCGUGCCAGCAGCCGCGGUAAUACGGAAGAUGUGAGCGUUAUCCGGAUUUAUUGGGUUUAAAGGGAGCGUAGGCGGCCUUUUAAGUCGGUGGUCAAAGGUCAGUGCCCAACACUGGCCUGCCAUUGGUACUGGAGGGCUUGAAUACACACAAGGAAGGUGGAAUUCGUCGUGUAGCGGUGAAAUGCUUAGAUAUGACGAAGAACUCCGAUUGCGAAGGCAGCCUUCUGGAGUGCGAUUGACGCUGAGGCUCGAAAGCGCGGGUAUCAAACAGGAUUAGAUACCCUGGUA